UUCGAGUGCUGUUUCGCCGGAGAAAACC
rnacentral:sRNA from 1 species